UGCAGUCGAACGGUAACAGCGAGAGCUUGCUCUCGGCUGACGAGUGGCGGACGGGUGAGUAAUGCUUAGGAAUCUGCCCAGUAGCGGGGGACAACUCGGGGAAACUCGAGCUAAUACCGCAUACGCCCUACGGGGGAAAGCAGGGGAUCUUCGGACCUUGCACUAUUGGAUGAGCCUAAGUCAGAUUAGCUUGUUGGUGGGGUAACGGCCUACCAAGGCGACGAUCUGUAGCUGGUCUGAGAGGACGAUCAGCCACACUGGAACUGAGACACGGUCCAGACUCCUACGGGAGGCAGCAGUGGGGAAUAUUGCACAAUGGGCGCAAGCCUGAUGCAGCAAUGCCGCGUGUGUGAAGAAGGCCUGCGGGUUGUAAAGCACUUUCAGUAAGGAGGAAAAGUUGUAGGUUAAUACCCUGCAGCCUUGACGUUACUUACAGAAGAAGCACCGGCUAACUCUGUGCCAGCAGCCGCGGUAAUACGGAGGGUGCGAGCGUUAAUCGGAAUUACUGGGCGUAAAGCGUGCGUAGGCGGCAUGGUCAGUCGGAUGUGAAAGCCCCGGGCUUAACCUGGGAAUUGCAUUCGAUACUGCCAAGCUAGAGUAUGUUAGAGGAAAGUGGAAUUCCCGGUGUAGCGGUGAAAUGCGUAGAUAUCGGGAGGAACAUCAGUGGCGAAGGCGACUUUCUGGAUCAAUACUGACGCUGAGGUACGAAAGCGUGGGGAGCAAACAGGAUUAGAUACCCUGGUAGUCCACGCCCUAAACGAUGUCAACUAGCCGUUGGAGGAUUUAAUCCUUU
rnacentral:rRNA from 1 species